UUGGAAGACCGGUUCCCGUACGAUCACCGAAGUUAAGCAACGUCGAGCUCAGACAAUACCUAGAUGCGUGACCUCUUGGGAAUACCAGGUGCUGUAA